GGAUUGACGGACUGAAGGCUCUUUCUCGAUUCCGUGGAAAGUGGUGCAUGGCCGUUUUUGGUUGGUGGAUCGAUCCGUCUGGUUAAUUCCGUUAACGAACGAGACCUCGGCACUCCGAAUAGCGCGGCGGACGUCGCGGCCUCCGGGCCGUCUUCCGCACGAGCUUCUUAGAGGGACCGUCCCCCGCCGGGGAAGGAGGUGCGAGGCAACGACAGGUCUGUGAUGCCCUUAGAUGUUCUGGGCCGCACGCGCAUUACACUGACGCGUCCAACGGGUGACUCCCCGACCCCGGAAAGGGGCCGGGGGAAUCCGCAAGGCGCGUCGUGAUGGGGAUUGAACGUUGCAAUUGUUGUUCACGAACGAGGAAUUCCUAGUAGGCGCGGGUCAUCAACCCGCGCCGAUUACGUCCCUGCCCUUUGUACACACCG
rnacentral:rRNA from 1 species